rnacentral:rRNA from 1 species
GAGCCAGACUCCUACGGGAGGCAGCAGUGGGGAAUAUUGCACAAUGGGGGAAACCCUGAUGCAGCGACGCCGCGUGAGCGAUGAAGUCUUUCGGUAUGUAAAGCUCUAUCAGCAGGGAAGAAGAUGACGGUACCUGACUAAGAAGCCCCGGCUAACUACGUGCCAGCAGCCGCGGUAAUACGUAGGGGGCAAGCGUUAUCCGGAUUUACUGGGUGUAAAGGGAGCGUAGACGGCGGCGCAAGCCAGAUGUGAAAGCCCGGGGCUCAACUCCGGGACUGCAUUUGGAACUGUGUGGCUGGAGUGUCGGAGAGGCAGGCGGAAUUCCUAGUGUAGCGGUGAAAUGCGUAGAUAUUAGGAGGAACACCAGUGGCGAAGGCGGCCUGCUGGACGAUGACUGACGUUGAGGCUCGAAAGCGUGGGGAGCAAACAGGAUUAGAUACCCCGGUA